rnacentral:misc_RNA from 1 species
ACUCAAUAUGGCAGGAAGUAGCGGUCGGUCUUUACAAAAAAUGGACAUGGGAGACUCCAUGGAUGAAGAGACCAGGCGACUGGUGCAAAAGCAUCAGCUGCAAGACGAUGCAACAGAUGACUCUGUGGAGGUCGUGAUUUGGAUGAGGGACAGAGUUGGAAUUCAUGUCACCCUGGAGUGUGCCGGUCACGAAGCUACCGCAGAAGACUUGUUUGAGGUGGUUGUUAAGGAGAGGAAUCUGCCCCAGGACUGUGAUAACGUUUUCUCCAUUUGGCUCGUGUCUCCUCUUCUGGAAUUAAGAUUGAAAAAGAGCCACAAACCCUUCCAGUUUGCCCAGAUGUGGGAUGAAUUCUGUGUGCUCUACACAGACUCCAAACCAGAUGAAAUUUCUAGAGAUGAACCUGUUGUAAUGUUUCAGAGAAAUGUAUUUCUGACUUUGGAAGAAGAAAUGAAUAUAUGCCACGAAGUGAUGUUGAGUUUGCUGUACCACGAGGCUAAAUUUAAUGUAAUUGAGGGACGGUAUGUUGUACAACCGGAGGAAUAUGACCAGCUGGCUGGCAUCCAGGCAUUGAUCCAUCUGGAGCAUUAUAACGCGAACACACACACUCAGGACCAUUACAAAAAAGAACUUCACAAAUUUUAUCCAGAGUUCAUGCGAAAGCCAAAAAGCACAAAGUUUUUUAAAUUCGGUAAAAAUGAUGGAGUGGAACCUUUGGAGGUCCGAGUUGAGCGAGCCCACCGCCAGAUCAGCGGGGCUUACAAGGACAAAGACAUAAAGCAAGCUCUGCCUGCCCUUUACAGGACGUAUCUAGAGGUGUGUUGGCAGUAUGCCUUCUAUGGGAGUGCAUUCUUUGAAGGUAAAAUUCAGAAACAGGUGGGGAAGAUUAAAGGUCACCUGCCGGGGGUGGAGAAGGACAUGGAAGUGUUGGUGGCCCUGAACACAGACGGGAUCUGUAUCAUUGACCAGCUGAGGGAGGACCCAAUGUUAGCCGUUCCCUACGAGGAGUUGUCAUGGGCGCUGGACACGAACGAAGAGGAGGAGAACAAGAUGGCCGUUCUAAUGCUGCAGUUCCUGGUCAAGGAGGAGGGGGAAGAAUGACCAAAGUACUACAGGUGUUCUCCAGUCAGGCCAAGAUGAUGGAUGCAUUGAUUGAAUCGUGUGUGAAAAGGAAACAUCAGCAGAGGGACCAGAGUGCUCGGGACGGAAUCAGUGUCCCUGAUGGAGCCAGAAAGAAGUUCAGGAACGAGAGAUUCUGCAGCAAAAUAACAAACAAACUGGAAAAAAUGACACUGUCUACUUACUCACUAAAAGGAGACAAGAUCCCCAUGAGAGACAGUAAUUGAGGAGGUCGCUGUGGUUGGCUAACUAAGCUUUUUGCAUAAUAACCGUAGAAUUUUUAGUUGAUUUCCUGUCCAAAGGUUGUGAUUUUGUAGAGUAGCAAACCGUAAGAUCAAACUUCAAGGACACAACUAUGAUAGAAUAUAGCAAGACUUUGAAAAAUGUUAAACUAGACGUCUUUAUUGGAAUCAUGCAGCUUCUAGAUUAGCAAUACUUCAGACAAUUCUAAACAAAUGUUUUUGCGCAUUUUUGUAUGACCCUUUGCAUUGGAGGAGUCAAUAUACCAAAAAAAAAACACAUUCUGGUGUGUGCAUCUGUUUCUUCACUCCAGUUUUGUGCUCAUAAUCAAAAACAGAAUCCAUUCAAUACUACCCAAGGAAAUUGAUUUGAACAUGUUUAUGGUAUGCACAGGAUCAGUGUAAAAUGUACAACCUGUUUAUAAUGCAUUUUGUAUCAUUUAUGUUAUGAAUUAAACAUUUAAUAAUACGGCAACUGUUUUUACUGGCAAUGUUGGUAAUUGUUUAACUUUACUUCUUGAACAUUCUUAUUUGUUAAUUUACAUGUAUAUGUAUCGAGUUUAUGGUUGUAUAAAUACUUUGUACACUACUAUUGUGUUUGAUACACAUUUACAUGUAUAUGUAUUGAGUUUAUGGUAGUAUAAAUACUUUGUACCCUACUAUUGUGUUUGAUACACAUUUUCAUCUAUAUGUAUUGAGUUUAUGGUAGUAUAAAUACCUUGUACCCUACUGUAGUGUUUGAUACACAUUUACAUGCAAUUCUUUCAUUGAGAAUAUUAUUAUAUUUCUCAUUCCAGUGUUUUACCUCUUAUUUUAUAUAACAUUACAGUGUCUAACUGGAAAGAAUUUAUGGAAAUAGUUUGUAUUUGUUCACAAUUUAUUCUACAAAAAUUAUUUUUUAUGGAACUUCACACAAUUGCAGAGCUAUGCAAUUUAAAUAUACAAAGAUAUGUCUGUAUUUCUUUGAUGUCUGAAAAUGAUUGUUAGCUAGUAUCUGGAUCAUGCCUUACAGUUUUAAUUAAUUGUACAUUACUGAACUCUAAUUUAAUCAUUAUAAGCAUCAGUAUCUGCAAUGCAAAUACAUGUACAACUUCAGUACUCAAAUACCACUAUAAUAUUAGUCCAAGUGAGAUGGAAAUUCCAGUUACCAUUUGUUUUAAAAUAAUAUUAUGGAUUAAAACCCCAAUAUCUGGAAUCUUCGCAAUGCCUGCUGCACUGGGCUGUGUUUUGCAAAUUAACUUACUGAACAGAGGGAGGUUUGACUGUAGUUUAUGUUUUCCUAUAAUAAUUAUUUUUAUGGUUGAUGUAAUAUUUAUUUAUCCUUUAGGUUACUGUGAUAUUAAUCAAAAGAUGUUUUAUUGAUAAUUGAUAAUAAAUUUAUUUGAAACUUU